CUCUGUGGGAUCAGUGGCGAACGGGUGAGUAACACGUGAGCAACCUACCCCUGACUCUGGGAUAAGCGCUGGAAACGGCGUCUAAUACUGGAUAUGUGGCGUGACCGCAUGGUCUGCGUCUGGAAAGAAUUUCGGUUGGGGAUGGGCUCGCGGCCUAUCAGCUUGUUGGUGAGGUAAUGGCUCACCAAGGCGUCGACGGGUAGCCGGCCUGAGAGGGUGACCGGCCACACUGGGACUGAGACACGGCCCAGACUCCUACGGGAGGCAGCAGUGGGGAAUAUUGCACAAUGGGCGCAAGCCUGAUGCAGCAACGCCGCGUGAGGGAUGACGGCCUUCGGGUUGUAAACCUCUUUUAGCAGGGAAGAAGCGAAAGUGACGGUACCUGCAGAAAAAGCGCCGGCUAACUACGUGCCAGCAGCCGCGGUAAUACGUAGGGCGCAAGCGUUAUCCGGAAUUAUUGGGCGUAAAGAGCUCGUAGGCGGUUUGUCGCGUCUGCUGUGAAAUCCGGAGGCUCAACCUCCGGCCUGCAGUGGGUACGGGCAGACUAGAGUGCGGUAGGGGGAGAUUGGAAUUCCUGGUGUAGCGGUGGAAUGCGCAGAUAUCAGGAGGAACACCGAUGGCGAAGGCAGAUCUCUGGGCCGUAACUGACGCUGAGGAGCGAAAGGGUGGGGAGCAAACAGGCUUAGAUACCCUGGUAGUCCACCCCGUAAACGUUGGGAACUAGUUGUGGGGUCCAUUCCACGGAUUCCGU
rnacentral:rRNA from 1 species